GACGAACCGUGCGAACGUUAUUCGGAAUCACUGGGCUUAAAGCGCGUGUAGGCGGCCCGGAACGUCUUUCGCUGAAAUCCCCCGGCUCAACCGGGGAACGGGCGGAGAUACGACCGGGCUGGAGGGGGGUAGGGGGAGCCGGAACUCACGGUGGAGCGGUGAAAUGCGUUGAGAUCGUGAGGAACGCCCGUGGCGAAAGCGGGCUCCUGGACCCCACCUGACGCUGAGACGCGAAAGCCAGGGGAGCGAACGGG
rnacentral:rRNA from 1 species